rnacentral:rRNA from 1 species
AUUGAACGCUGGCGGCAGGCCUAACACAUGCAAGUCGAACGGUAACAGGAAGAAGCUUGCUUCUUUGCUGGCGAGUGGCGGACGGGUGAGUAAUGUCUGGGAAACUGCCUGAUGGAGGGGGAUAACUACUGGAAACGGUAGCUAAUACCGCAUAACGUCGCAAGCCCAAAGAGGGGGACCUUCGGGCCUCUUGCCAGCGGAUGUGCCCAGAUGGGAUUAGCUAGUCGGGGGGGUAACGGCUCACCUAGGCGACGAGCCCUAGCUGGUCUGAGAGGAUGACCAGCCACACUGGAACUGGGACACGGUCCAGACUCCUACGGGAGGCAGCAGUGGGGAAUAUUGCACAAUGGGCGCAAGCCUGAUGCAGCCAUGCCGCGUGUAUUAAGACGGCCUUCGGGUUGUAAAGUACUUUCAGCGGGGAGGAAGGGAGUAAAGUUAAUACCUUUGCUCAUUGACGUUACCCGCAGAAGAAGCACCGGCUAACUCCGUG